rnacentral:rRNA from 1 species
GCAACCUGCCCCGAAGAGUGGGAUAACACCGGGAAACCGGUGCUAAUACCGGAUGUCUUCCACUGACCGCAUGAUCGGUGGAAGAAAUGUCUUUUCGCUUCGGGAGGGGCUCGCGGUCCAUCAGCUUGUUGGCGGGGUAACGGCCCACCAAGGCAACGACGGAUAGCUGGUCUGAGAGGACGAUCAGCCACACUGGAACUGAGACACGGUCCAGACUCCUACGGGAGGCAGCAGUGGGGAAUCUUGCGCAAUGGGCGAAAGCCUGACGCAGCAACGCCGCGUGAGGGAUGAAGGCUUUCUGAGUUGUAAACCUCUUUCGACAGGGACGAUUGUGACGGUACCUGUAGAAGAAGCACCG